GCGUCUGUAGCUCAGGUGGAUAGAGCAACUGCCUUCUAAGCAGUGGGUCGGGGGUUCGAGUCCCUCCAGGCGCACCA
rnacentral:tRNA from 1 species